AGGAGUUAGACCAGAGAGUCCACCUGAGCCACCACUGGACCCCAGUCACCCUCCUGCACCUAAAAGGUAAGAAACAGGAGGGUGACUUAAAUAUUGUGUGUGUGUGUUUGCCUGUAUAUAUGUGUGCCUGUUUGUAUGUAUGUCUUUGUAUGUAUGUGUGUUUGUAUGUAUGUAUGCCUGACUGCAUGUGUGUGUGUGUGUCUGUCUGUCUGUGUCUGCCUGUGCG